rnacentral:rRNA from 1 species
GGGGAAUUUUGGACAAUGGGCGAAAGCCUGAUCCAGCAAUGCCGCGUGUGUGAAGAAGGCCUUCGGGUUGUAAAGCACUUUUGUCCGGAAAGAAAUCCUUGGCUCUAAUACAGUCGGGGGAUGACGGUACCGGAAGAAUAAGCACCGGCUAACUACGUGCCAGCAGCCGCGGUAAUACGUAGGGUGCGAGCGUUAAUCGGAAUUACUGGGCGUAAAGCGUGCGCAGGCGGUUUGCUAAGACCGAUGUGAAAUCCCCGGGCUCAACCUGGGAACUGCAUUGGUGACUGGCAGGCUAGAGUAUGGCAGAGGGGGGUAGAAUUCCACGUGUAGCAGUGAAAUGCGUAGAGAUGUGGAGGAAUACCGAUGGCGAAGGCAGCCCCCUGGGCCAAUACUGACGCUCAUGCACGAAAGCGUGGGGAGCAAACAGGAUUAGAUACCCUGGUAGUCCACGCCCUAAACGAUGUCAACUAGUUGGUGGGGAUUCAUUUCCUUAGUAACGUAGCUAACGCGUGAAGUUGACCGCCUGGGGAGUACGGUCGCAAGAUUAAAACUCAAAGGAAUUGACGGGGACCCGCACAAGCGGUGGAUGAUGUGGAUUAAUUCGAUGCAACGCGAAAAACCUUACCUACCCUUGACAUGGUCGGAAUCCUGCUGAGAGGCGGGAGUGCUCGAAAGAGAACCGGCGCACAGGUGCUGCAUGGCUGUCGUCAGCUCGUGUCGUGAGAAU